rnacentral:rRNA from 1 species
GUACGAGGGGUGCAAGCGUUGCUCGGAAUUAUUGGGCGUAAAGGGUAGGUAGGUGGUCUCAUUUGUCUGGGGUGAAAGCCUUGAGCUUAACUCAAGAAGUGCCCCGGAAACGGUGAGACUGGAGUCCUGGAGAGGGUCGUGGAAUUCCCGGUGUAGCGGUGAAAUGCGUAGAGAUCGGGAGGAACACCAGCGGCGAAGGCGGCGACCUGGACAGGUACUGACACUCAACUACGAAAAGCGUGGGGAGCAAACAGG